rnacentral:rRNA from 1 species
AAAUUGAAGAGUUUGAUCAUGGCUCAGAUUGAACGCUGGCGGCAGGCCUAACACAUGCAAGUCGAACGGUAGCACAGAGAGCUUGCUCUCGGGUGACGAGUGGCGGACGGGUGAGUAAUGUCUGGGAAACUGCCUGAUGGAGGGGGAUAACUACUGGAAACGGUGGCUAAUACCGCAUAACGUCGCAAGACCAAAGAGGGGGACCUUCGGGCCUCUUGCCAUCAGAUGUGCCCAGAUGGGAUUAGCUUGUUGGUGAGGUAACGGCUCACCAAGGCGACGAUCCCUAGCUGGUCUGAGAGGAUGACCAGCCACACUGGAACUGAGACACGGUCCAGACUCCUACGGGAGGCAGCAGUGGGGAAUAUUGCACAAUGGGCGCAAGCCUGAUGCAGCCAUGCCGCGUGUAUGAAGAAGGCCUUCGGGUUGUAAAGUACUUUCAGCGGGGAG